rnacentral:rRNA from 1 species
GAUGAACGCUAGCGGCAGGCUUAACACAUGCAAGUCGAGGGGCAGCAUACCCGGUGACGGGUGAUGGCGACCGGCGGAAGGGUGAGUAACGCGUGAGCAACAUACCCGUAUCAGUGGGAUAAUACAGGGAAACUUGUUCUAAUAUCACAUAAUAUUAUUCAGAGGCAUCUUUGGAUAAUUAAAGUUCAGGCGGAUACGGAAUGGCUCGCGUGACAUUAGCUAGAUGGUAGGGUAAAGGCCUACCAUGGCUAUGAUGUCUAGGGGUUCUGAGAGGAAGACCCCCCACACUGGGACUGAGACACGGCCCAGACUCCUACGGGAGGCAGCAGUGAGGAAUAUUGGACAAUGGAUGGAAAUCUGAUCCAGCCAUGCCGCGUGCAGGAAGACGGCCCUAUGGGUUGUAAACUGCUUUUAUAUGGGAGCAAUAAGGUCUACGAGUAGACCGAUGAGAGUACCAUAUGAAUAAGCAUCGGA